rnacentral:rRNA from 1 species
UACGUAGGGGGCAAGCGUUGUCCGGAUUCAUUGGGCGUAAAGAGCUCGUGAGGCGGCUUGGCAAGUCGGGUGUGAAACCUCCAGCUCAACCUGGAGACGCCACCCGAUACUGCCAUGGCUAGAGUCCGGAAGAGGAGAGUGGAAUUCCGUGGUGUAGCGGUGAAAUGCGCAGAUAUCAGGAAGAACACCCGUGGCGAAGGCGGCUCUCUGGGACGGUACUGACGCUCAUGUACGAAAGCGUGGGGAGCAAACAGG